UACGGAGGGUGCAAGCGUUGUCCGGAUUCAUUGGGUUUAAAGGGUGCGCAGGCGGGCGAUUAAGUCAGGGGUGAAAGACGGUUGCUCAACAAUCGCAGUGCCUUGAUACUGGUGUCUUGGUGACCUUGAGGUAGGCGGAAUGGGUGGUGUAGCGGUGAAAUGCAUAGAUACCACCCAGAACUCCGAUUGCGAAGGCAGCCUACUGGAGGUUCACCGACGCUCAGGCACGAAAGCGUGGGGAUCAAACAGG
rnacentral:rRNA from 1 species